rnacentral:sRNA from 1 species
AAUUUAUUGUUAUCACAUAUGGAACAAAGACAAAAUAUCCCUCACUUGGAAGGGAUCUCUUCUCCAAAGGAGACGAAUUUAACCUGGUGUGGGUCUCGCCUCAGAGAGAUGUAGGACCUAUGGACUUGAACUUCCAUAUAUAUAUAUAUA